rnacentral:sRNA from 1 species
AUUGAUUUACACCGUAUAAUGCGCAUUUUUCUCGUGUUUAACAGACUAAAUGUCUGUUUAUAAGACUGCGAACGGUAACGUUCGGGUGUUGUGCUGUGUUCUGUUGUGUUGUGUUGUCGCGCUAUAAAAUAUAUUUAACAAACUGAUUUAUUGCAUUUUGAUAACCCCUCACUGGGUCGGGCCACCGCCUCAACUCGCCAUUCCCGCUUCACAUUCGUCGUCUAGGAGCUAAAAACCUAAUGGCAUCGAGCACAACUGUGCAAAAUGUCAAGCCACACCAGAUGAAGAAGAACGCGUUUUAUAAUUGCCUGAUUUAUACAAUUUUAUUACGAGAGAGUGCGAGUGUGCCUUUAAUGACUUUGUUUACAAAUGAAUUGGUGUUUUUUACGCCUUGGUUUAUUCCAUUUUACAAAUUAUUGCUGAGGCGCCCAAACUUGAUGACGCAAAUAUAAAAAAUUUUCAUCAAUUCAGCAUGCUUGAGACCUUGAGCUAUCAAUCAUGCAGUCGGCUGAAGAAAGUCCUCAACAAACUUCGCCCCGCCCAGUGACAAAAUUUGACAGGAAAGCUGGCAGGAGGUCGUACGCCGCCCCACUCGUCAGUAAGUGAGUGUAAACUUGAGUUCGGACUCCGGACCUCGAACUCGGACUUUGGACCACCAGCUGCCAGGAACGAGAUGCGGCUGUCAGGCUUUUUAAGCCCAAAACGUUGUCGACGAAUUGAUUUUGCUCCUCUCAGCAGGACUCUUAGCCAACUGACACUGGCAGGCGGUCCGUGCAAGAGAGAUGGGAAAGUGAGCACUUUGUAGCCGCAUCUGGCA